UACAUGGGGUGCAAACGUUGCUCGGAAUUACUGGGCGUAAAGCGCACGUAGGCGGAUUUGUAAGUCAGGGGUGAAAUCCCGGGGCUCAACCUCGGAACUGCCUUUGAUACUGCAAAUCUCGAGUCCGAUAGAGGUGGGUGGAAUUCCUAGUGUAGAGGUGAAAUUCGUAGAUAUUAGGAAGAACACCGGUGGCGAAGGCGGCCCACUGGAUCGGUACUGACGCUGAGGUGCGAAAGCGUGGGGAGCAAACAGG
rnacentral:rRNA from 1 species